GAGCACCGCGCGCGCUGCGUGAGAGCCUGCAGGUGCCCAGGGCUGUGGCUUUGUGUGGUGGCUUGGGCGACCCCUAGGGAAAAGCUGGCACACAGUAAGUACCCCCAAACCAUUUGCUGGAGGGAUGAACAGGCAGGUAAGUCGACAGGGGCGGACUUCCAAAGGCCACCGCAUGUUGGCAACUGAAUGAAGAAUAAAAGCCGAUCUCCCUGCAACCCUGGUAGAAGCCUUGCUGGCCCAGGCCCAGUUUCCUUCCUCCUUCCUCCAGGAACCACGGCCUUUGGGUUCUCUGGACAGGAAACCUGUCUCCCUGUGUCUGCUGGUUCUUCCACCCAGAGACAUCAGCUUGUGAUCAAAUGUCACCAUCAGACAGAAGUUGUUCUCCUCUCCCCUAUGCCGCCUCUGCUUGAUAGUCAAUUUCAUAUUAUCUAACGAAUUUUCUAAUAACAAUUCUCAAUAGAAGUCUGUGAUGUUCUGGACAAUGGCGGAGAGGUGGAAUUCUGACUGGCUGGGAUUAUCACAACGUUAAGAACUGGUUGAGGACCAGAGGGGUAAGCCCCAUGGGCCAGGUUGCCCAGCUCUGUCUUCAUGGAACCUAGGAUACUCACUAGCUGUGAGUUACAAGAGUUACUCAGAAGCCACUCCUGCCCUGGGGUCAUCGCCCACCUACCCCAUCUGAAGGGGACUACAGGGCACUGACUCCUCUGCACCCGCAGUGAAGGUUAAUCAGGCAGAUCAGCCCUGGCCUUGGUCCCUUGCUGACUGUGAAGCUGGGGCCACAUGCUGCCAGGUGGAACUCAGCAGGCUCCAUCCCGGGAGUGGGAGCAUUGGGAGAGGUCUUGGCCAGGAAUACUGGGAGCUACCUUCAGGUUCUAGCAGCUUCCUCAGCACUGUCCUGGAAGACGAGCUGAGUGGGGAUCCUUCCACACCAUCCACACACCGUCUAGCCCCUCCUAUACCAUCCACACACACCCCUCCCUUCACACCCCCCACCCACACCAUCCACACCCCCCACCAUCCACACCCCUCCCACACUAUCUACACACCCUCCCAGCUGGGCAGCCUUAUGCAACUUUCUUUCCCACUCUGAGCCUCUGGUUCUGCCUCCACAGUCCUCCCUCCAGGAUCAUGGACUGUUGCCUUGUGUGUGAGCUUGCCUUUGAAAGCAUUUUGUGAGCCUGGCUUGUCAAGUUGGCAGACAAAUGUCUGCCAGCACUCUGGAGAGGGAUAUCUCAUAUAAAGAAUCUCAUGUCUUGCUUCUUGUGGAACACUUCAAGAUCGGCUACUUUGUGCCUGAGUUCCUGCAGUGGUGAAGGAAUGCUGGAGUUCUGCAGAACCUCCUCUGAGCACCUGAUGCCAGCCCAUCCCCACCCCGGGGGUCAGGGUGUGUCUCUCACCAAGACACUGAGUACUAGUGGUUGUGUUAGUUUUGACUUCCCUUCCAUCACUGGGGCCUUCUGACUUGUUUUCAUGCAAGCAACAUUUAAAGGAGACACACAGCCGUACUAUAAAGGUCCCUGGCUGUUCAUAUUCAACUUUGCCCCACCUACCAAUACAGUGAAGCAGCCAGACCUGACUCAUCAUAUAGAUUAAUAAAUCUUCAGAUUAUGGUAGGAAUUGGGAGGGGAUAUGGUUUCUAAUAUUCAGGCCUUCCUCUAGAAAGUGGGAGCCAUGGAGUAGAAGAAAAGUGGAUGCAGCCACACUGUGUGCAGCAGUUAGAGGCGAGGUAAAAAAAAAAAAAAAAAAAAAGCAGUAGGCACAGCAAUGGCCACGAGGAGGUCUGAGGAGAAGGCUCUCACAAGAGCUCAGGGACUCAAUAUAAAAAGAGGUCUGACAAGGUUCAUCCCUUUCCCCAGGUGAUGGGUGUUACCUUCCUAGUCCACUUCUUGCUCAGUUGGGAGAGGAGGGCAUAGAGGGAUCAGGAGGGUCCUAGGGCUUGCAGCUUCCAGGGCAGAACAGUGCCUAGGAUUUCCCAGGGUAUAGGCAGCCUAAGGCUGGUGAUCAGGCCAGAGACAAGACCUGGGAUGAAAGUAAACAAAAAUCCAAGGCUCAGUGUAGGGCCAGAGGUCAGGCCACCUGUGGAGACUGAGGUGCAGGACUGGUUGUUACAGCACACAGGGGUUCCACUUUGGACUCAGUGCAGAGCACCCAUGUUCCCCCAAACCCCCAGCCUGGUGGAGCAAGAUGCAUUAGCUGAGGAUAGGGACAUAACUCAGACCUAGGAGAAUCACACCCGGACACUCAUCUAUUCCCUCAGGCUCUGUCCUCUUGGUCAGAGCUUGGAGCUGCUGCUACCAUCUUUGUGCCACACAGGGACACAGAGCUGAGAGAGAGAGAGAAAGAGAGAGAGAGAGAGAGAGAGAGAGAGAGAGAGAGAGAGAGAGAGAGAGAGAGAGAGAAGUGAGAGACUGUGCUAUUAUGUACUAUGCUAUGUAUUUUGUUUGGUUGACUUUUUUGUGUUUGUUUUUCUUUUUCUUUCUUUCUUUCUUUCUUUUUUUUUUUU